UAUCAGCCAAUUAGAGCCAAAAGGUGAAAAUCAUGUGCGCGGAAAAGAAAAGAAACUCGUCCAUCAGUCUCCUUGCGCCGUAUAAAAAUGGAAUCAUUUCCAUCCGAAUGUUCAUCCAAGAAACAUCUCAGCACUUUUUAACUACUUGCCAAUCAUCUUCUGUCUUUAAAUCUACAACAUUAAAUGUGAAAACAUCGGUUACAUGCCCAGUACCGGUGAGAAAUGCGGAGGAAUUUGCUACGCCAAUUUUCAAUGCACUCAUUUUGCUCAUGGAAAUGGAUACUGUUUCAUGUUUAGCGAUUUCAGAGGAUUGUUUUCCGAGCAUGAAGCAGGGUAGACUUGUGGUUACAUUCCCA